AGGACGAACGCUGGCGGCGUGCCUAAUACAUGCAAGUUGAGCGCUGAAGGUUGGUACUUGUACCGACUGGAUGAGCAGCGAACGGGUGAGUAACGCGUGGGGAAUCUGCCUUUGAGCGGGGGACAACAUUUGGAAACGAAUGCUAAUACCGCAUAAAAACUUUAAACACAAGUUUUAAGUUUGAAAGAUGCAAUUGCAUCACUCAAAGAUGAUCCCGCGUUGUAUUAGCUAGUUGGUGAGGUAAAGGCUCACCAAGGCGAUGAUACAUAGCCGACCUGAGAGGGUGAUCGGCCACAUUGGGACUGAGACACGGCCCAAACUCCUACGGGAGGCAGCAGUAGGGAAUCUUCGGCAAUGGACGAAAGUCUGACCGAGCAACGCCGCGUGAGUGAAGAAGGUUUUCGGAUCGUAAAACUCUGUUGGUAGAGAAGAACGUUGGUGAGAGUGGAAAGCUCAUCAAGUGACGGUAACUACCCAGAAAGGGACGGCUAACUACGUGCCAGCAGCCGCGGUAAUACGUAGGUCCCGAGCGUUGUCCGGAUUUAUUGGGCGUAAAGCGAGCGCAGGUGGUUUAUUAAGUCUGGUGUAAAAGGCAGUGGCUCAACCAUUGUAUGCAUUGGAAACUGGUAGACUUGAGUGCAGGAGAGGAGAGUGGAAUUCCAUGUGUAGCGGUGAAAUGCGUAGAUAUAUGGAGGAACACCGGUGGCGAAAGCGGCUCUCUGGCCUGUAACUGACACUGAGGCUCGAAAGCGUGGGGAGCAAACAGGAUUAGAUACCCUGGUAGUCCACGCCGUAAACGAUGAGUGCUAGAUGUAGGGAGCUAUAAGUUCUCUGUAUCGCAGCUAACGCAAUAAGCACUCCGCCUGGGGAGUACGACCGCAAGGUUGAAACUCAAAGGAAUUGACGGGGGCCCGCACAA
rnacentral:rRNA from 1 species